rnacentral:rRNA from 1 species
GACGAACGCUGGCGGCGUGCUUAACACAUGCAAGUCGAGCGGAAAGGCCCUUUCGGGGUACUCGAGCGGCGAACGGGUGAGUAACACGUGAGUAAUCUGCCCUUGGCUUUGGGAUAACCACCGGAAACGGUGGCUAAUACCGGAUAUGACGGGCUCCGGCAUCGGGGUUCGUGGAAAGUUUUUCGGCCAGGGAUGUGCUCGCGGCCUAUCAGCUUGUUGGUGGGGUAAUGGCCUACCAAGGCUUCGACGGGUAGCCGGCCUGAGAGGGUGACCGGCCACACUGGGACUGAGACACGGCCCAGACUCCUACGGGAGGCAGCAGUGGGGAAUAUUGGACAAUGGGCGGAAGCCUGAUCCAGCAACGCCGCGUGAGGGAUGACGGCCUUCGGGUUGUAACCUACUUCUAGUACCGACGAAG